rnacentral:rRNA from 1 species
AUUGAACGCUGGCGGCAGGCCUAACACAUGCAAGUCGAGCGGAUGAAGGUAGCUUGCUACCUGAUUCAGCGGCGGACGGGUGAGUAAUGCCUAGGAAUCUGCCUGGUAGUGGGGGACAACGUUUCGAAAGGAACGCUAAUACCGCAUACGUCCUACGGGAGAAAGUGGGGGAUCUUCGGACCUCACGCUAUCAGAUGAGCCUAGGUACGAUUAGCUAGUUGGUGAGGUAAAGGCUCACCAAGGCGACGAUCGUUAACUGGUCUGAGAGGAUGAUCAGUCACACUGGAAAUGAGACACGGUCCAGACUCCUACGGGAGGCAGCAGUGGGGAAUAUUGGACAAUGGGCGAAAGCCUGAUCCAGCCAUGCCGCGUGUGUGAAGAAGGUCUUCGGAUUGUAAAGCACUUUAAGUUGGGAGGAAGGGCAGUAAGUUAAUACCUUGCUGUUUUGACGUUACCGACAGAAUAAGCACCGGCUAACUUCGUGCCAGCAGCCGCCGUAA